GUUCUGUGUUCUAAAUCCAAAUCCGCUUUACAUCUUUGGUGUCGAAUCUGUUAAAACUUCAUCGAUUGUUCUACACAAUCAUCAGAUAAUUAUAUAGCCGGUGAUCCUUUUAGAUGAUGAAUCUGUCAACAAUAGUAGGUAUCGACCCCUUGCAUAACACUCCUUCAUUUCUAAAGUUAAUAGAUGAAGAUUUCCCGAUUUUUUUGGAAAUACCUAAUGACUUUGCAUCAAUGGUUUGGGGAGACCACCCACCUUACAAAGAUUCAGUUAGGAUUGUUGAUGGUGACAAUAUAUGGUUUGUAAGAGUAAAAAAAACUGAUGUUGGCCCAGUUCUUGCUGAUGGAUUCACCAAAUUGGU